CUCUCCUAGUGGGUCCGAGAAACCCGACCCACCUCACGAGGAGGAUAGAGAGAGAGAUGAAACGGGCGUGUUUACGGAGGAGGAUUGGAGGAAUGAAGAGGUUGAUGCAAAAGCAGAUGAUUUAUCAACAGGUUCAAGCAUCAUUGAAGUUGCAGAGGAGUGAUUCGUUAUUGAGGGUACAGAGAAAUGUUGAAUAGAGGAUAGCCAAGUAAGCUCUAGGGGUAUGAAAGGUGGGUUGUAAUGGUGAUGGUAACUGGAUCUGUACCGUUUUGAAUGGUUUGUGCAAUUGUGCCCUUAUUCCAGCAUAUUGUAUUUGAGUUAGGGGUAGUCAGGUCAUUUCAGAUGUUAGAGUUAAUAUAAAAAAAUGUUUAAGUGCACAACUUUCGCACACAAACUCUAAAAACAUGUUUAAGUCCACAACUUUCGCAUACAAACCUUUCACGACAACCAAGUUAUUGUAUUCAGAGUUGUGUUUGAAAGUUAUGUAGUGCUACAACCCUUUCACGACAACUAGGUUGUUGCAUUCGGAGUUUUGUUUGAAAGUUAAUGUAGUGCUUUUAAGAUUGUAAGGUGAAACUAUUUUGAACCUGUUUUAUUUAUUUAUGAUACAAGUGAUUCAUAUUCUAUUUUGAAUAAUCAAAAGUAAAAGACAAAAAAAUAAAUAAAAAUAAAGUGAUGUUUUUUAUUAAAUGACAAUUUUGUCUGUGUGUUUGGGAGCAAGGUAAAUGUUAGUAUUAAAAAAAAAAAGACAAUCACCAGACAAACAUAUAAAUACAAGGACAUUUGAAAAAAUUUAAUUAAUAAAGACAAAAAAACGGUGUAAUUAAAAAAAAUGAGAGUGUGGAAAUCAUAAUAACGUUAUUAAUUUUAGGAAAACUUGAUAUCUGUAAUGAAAGUGAUAACAUUUUUAAUUUGAAAAAUAAUAUUAUUACCAAAAAAAACUCAUACAUAAAAUAUACAAAAAAUGAUGCGACAAUAAUAUUUUUGAUAUAUAUAUAUAUAUAUAGGGGCCGGAUCCAGGAAUACAAGUUUUAACACAAUUUUAGACACUCCAUCAUAACCCUUGAUUUCUUUCAAUCAAGGACUGAGAUUACAAUAACCUUUCUCCUCCCUCAUCUUCACAGACGUUAUCUCUCUUUCUCUUUACCUCUGUUAUCAUCGUUAACAGAAAAGAACUCAUCUCAAGCAUUACCUCUCUGUCGAGGGCCCAUCACUACACGAUCUAUGCUCUGAUGGAUGAGCCAUCAAAAAUAUUUCGAAAAACUGCUUCUUAAAAAUAAGAAAAACAAACACAUCUCAGAUUUGAUAGCAAAAGUAUACAACCCCCUGUAUCCACAACGAAAUACCUAUUUAACAAAAGACCAAAUUAGAUUCGAUUACAAAGGUAAAGUCCAUCAACAGCGAAGGACCCAUUUCAAGAUCUGGGUCAAAAAUCAGGAUUUGAGUCUAACUCAAUUAUUUGACUGCGUCUGUGUGGAGGAAGGGUUGAAAGGUUAUGUAAUUGGCAUGAGUUCGUGGCGUGUAGUAUUUAAUGUAAUUCGAGAAUUGGACAAAUCAAUCACAAGCAUGUGGAAUAGAUUCAAGGAUAUUCAUACAAGCCUAUGCUAAGGGUGUCUUGUAUGUUGUAUUAUCAAAGGUGAAAGAAGAUCCUAAAGGAUCGUCAAGACAAAAAAAGUGUACUGGAAAAUACUGAGAAUCCAAAAGUGUUGGACAAACCUCGUUGGACUGUCGUUGGAUCCUCGCGGGAGCGACGUAGUUCGAAAGACUGUUGCGGGAUUAAUUAAAGGACUCACCAGAGAAGCCGAGAGUUUGCAUUCUGUCACAAGCUAUUCGCGGGAUCCUCGCUGGACCAUCACGGGGGCGACGUAUCUCACUAAACUGUCGUGGGAGCUGGAUGAGACUUCAUAGAGAGAAGCCGAAAGCUUGUAUGUUGCCAACGAGAAUUCACAGGAUCAUCGCUGGAUAGUCGCGGGAGCGACAGAUAUCGCGGGAUCCUCGCAGGAGAGACCUGCGGAAAACUGCAGUGUCGUGAUCUGCGAUUUUUAGGUUUUUCAGCCACUAUAAAAAAGGGUAAGACACUUCGAAAUAAGGUAUCUGAGCUGCCGUCAUUCAUAUACCCUAGAGAGAAGUCUUCUCUAUCGACCAAAGAGCUCAAAAAAGAUUUUUGCACAGAACCUCAUCAACCAAAUUGAAGAAACAGAAAUCCUUGAAGGAGUUAAAGGUGUGAAAUCCGUUCUAAGGGGAUCUGAACGGUGAUCAAGCACGGAGAUGGUGAAUCAUGGAUACGAACUAGAUAAUCUCAAUCAUUAGAUCAAGGAGUUAAUAGAUUGUAAUUGUAAGAGUCUUGUAACCGUUUGAAACUUUUGUAAUAGUGCACCUUUGUCCGGAAAAGUAGACACGUUAUUUUCUCCCAUUCAAGGGUUUUCACGGUAAAAAUUUCGUGUGCAAUUUCAUUGAUUGACUUGCUUACUUUUAUGUUUGGAUUCUACAAUAUUGCUCA
rnacentral:lncRNA from 1 species